rnacentral:rRNA from 1 species
GCUAAACGCGAAGAACCUUACCAAGGCUUGACAUGCACGGGAAGCCACCAGAGAUGGUGGUCUCUUUGGACACUCGUGCACAGGUGGUGCAUGGUUGUCGUCAGCUCGUGUCGUGAGAUGUUGGGUUAAGUCCCGCAACGAGCGCAACCCUCGUCCCAUGUUGCCAGCGGGUUAUGCCGGGGACUCAUGGGAGACUGCCGGGGUCAACUCGGAGGAAGGUGGGGAUGACGUCAAAUCAUCAUGCCCCUUAUGUCUUGGGCUUCACGCAUGCUACAAUGGCCGGUACAAAGGGCUGCGAUACCGUAAGGUGGAGCGAAUCCCAAAAAGCCGGUCUCAGUUCGGAUUGGGGUCUGCAACUCGACCCCAUGAAGUCGGAGUCGCUAGUAAUCGCAGAUCAGCAACGCUGCGGUGAAUACGUUCCCGGGUCUUGUACACAC